CCUCGUCUGGCGCGGUUGUCACUCUCGGUGACCUUCGUGGUCUUGUCCUACCAUCAAAGUCAUGGGCGAUGCACGAGUUUCCUAGAUUUGACGGCGUAUCGUACGUAGCGUGCACACUGAAUCCUUGCACUCGUGAACUUUGCAUUGAACGAGCCGUAUUCUUCACCUGUGCAAGCAACGGAAGCAUGGAAUGUGAAGCGUUCGUGCUAGACAAACUAAUCAGCAAGUCUAGUUUAGUAACUGUUCGAGAAGCCUCGGAUGUUCUGCAGCUUGUUGCAAGCGUCCCACUCUGUUGUGGAGCAGCAGAAACUUCAUUUUUGCCACCGUCGGACCUUACCCACGGUCUACACGCGCAAAUGAAGUCAAGAGGAGAAAUCUUCUACAGUGUCAAAUGCAUGGGAAGAUCAGCAAAGGAAGGAUCCCCAUGCGUGUCAUGUAAAUACUUCCGUAAAGCUCUGCAGACGAGAAAAUCGCGGCUGAAAAGAAAAGCAGCAAAGAGAACCUGCAAGAGGGUCAACAGGCUCCACACUGUUACCAAGAGGGUCAAGAGACUGGCCUCAAAGGUGCAGUGUUUGAGUGACACCAUCUCCAGAAUGAAAGAUGCAACAGCAGCAACAGCGGAGGUCAUUUUACAGCAGAAACUGCAAAGUCUGUCGCAGAAGCAACAGCUAGCUGUCAGACAGUGUUUUGAAGCUGCAAAACGAAAAAGCACACGUGGUAUGAAGUACAACAAGGAAUGGAUGCUGGAGUGCAUACCUCUUAAAAUGCGCAGCCCCAAACUGUAUGACUACAUCAGGAGACAGAAUAUCUUAGUGCUUCCUGGGAAAACAACUAUCAGAAAGUAUAUAUCAAGCUACGUGGCUAAUUUUGGUUUUAAUGAAAACAUGCUGCAAACACUAAAAAAGAAGACCGCCACAAUGGGCCGAUUCAAGUGCCAGGGAGGUAUCGUGAUAGAUGAAAUGAAACUGUCUGAGCACUUUUCUGUCGAUACUGCUGGCAAGGUCAGUGGUUUCGUCGACUUGUGUGCCUACACACCUGAAGAACAAAAGCAACUGCCUUGUGACCAUGGUCUUGUGGUAAUGUUCGUGCCCCUCAUUGGUAGCUGGAGCCAAAUACUUGGAACAUUUGCCACACGCACGAACAUCAAGGGGUGCUGGAGGCCACAAUUCUGGCAGGGAAAGCGGGGCUCUUCGUCAACUAUGUUACAUGCGAUGCCGCGACAUGGAACAGAAAGAUGUGGCGGAUGAUGGGUGUGAAGGCAAAUUCAAAAGAAGUUAUUGCUAACAGGGUGCAUCCUUCUGACGACAAGAGGUCCCUGUAUUUCCUAUCGGAUUUUCCGCACCUUGUGAAGAACAUCCGCAACACACUUCUUCAAACAAGCUUCCACACGCCAGAUGGAAAGGUCUCUAUGGGGCCACUGCGAGAAGCUUUGAAGCUUGAUGAGAACAACCUCACCUUGAAAGCCAUGCCUCGGCAUACGAAGACCCACAUAGAGCCAAAUAAUUUUG
rnacentral:misc_RNA from 1 species